rnacentral:tRNA from 2 species
AAGAGGUGUUGUUUUGAACACCAAGAACUGCUAAUUCUUAUCACUGAAGUUAAAAUCCUCAGACCUCUUACU